rnacentral:rRNA from 1 species
ACAUGCAAGUCGAACGCGAAAGUCCCGCAAGGGAUAAGUAGAGUGGCAGACGGGUGAGUAAUGCAUAGGUAAUCUACCCUUGAGUGGGGGAUAACUCCGGGAAACCGGUGAUAAUCCCGCAUAAUGUCCAGAUGCGCAGGCGUUUGGAUCAAAGGGGGGGAUCCUUCGGGACCUCUUGCUUGAGGAUGAGCCUAUGUCCUAUUAGCUAGUUGGUGAGGUAAUGGCCCACCAAGGCUUUGAUGGGUAGCCGAGCUGAGAGGCUGAUCGGCCACACUGGAACUGAAACACGGUCCAGACUCCUACGGGAGGCAGCAGUGGGGAAUUUUGCGCAAUGGGCGAAAGCCUGACGCAGCGACGCCGCGUGAGGGAUGAAGGUCUUAGGAUUGUAAACCUCUGUCAGGGAGCAUUAAAUGUACGGGUAUCAACACCACCCGUACUUGACUUAACUCCCAAAGGAAGCCCCGGCUAACUACGUGCCAGCAGCCGCGGUAAUACGUAGGGGGCAAGCGUUACUCGGAUUUAUUGGGCGUAAAGAGAAUUAAGGCGGUUAUGUAAGUCAAUGGUGAAAUCCCCCGGCUCAACUGGGGAAUUGCCUUUGAUACUGCGUGACUUGAGGACUGGAGAGGAAGGCGGAAUUCCCGGUGUAGCGGUGGAAUGCGUAGAUAUCGGGAGGAACACCUGAGGCGAAGGCGGCUUUCUGGACUGGUCCUGACGCUGAUAUUCGAAAGCUAGGGGAGCAAACAGGAUUAGAUACCCUGGUAGUCCUAGCUGUAAACGAUGGAUACUAGAUCUUGCAUGAUUUUGCUUGGUCGAAGCUAACGCGUCAAGUAUCCCGCCUGGGGAGUACGGUCGCAAGGCUGAAACUCAAAUGAAUUGACGG